GUCGGGAUAGCUCAGCUGGUAGAGCAGAGGACUGAAAAUCCUCGUGUUACCAG
rnacentral:tRNA from 1 species